GACGAACGCUGGCGGCGUGCUUAACACAUGCAAGUCGAACGGAAAGGCCCUGCUUGCAGGGUACUCGAGUGGCGAACGGGUGAGUAACACGUGGGUGAUCUGCCCUGCACUUCGGGAUAAGCCUGGGAAACUGGGUCUAAUACCGGAUAGGAGCCAUUUUUAGUGUGAUGGUUGGAAAGUUUUUUCGGUGUAGGAUGAGCUCGCGGCCUAUCAGCUUGUUGGUGGGGUAAUGGCCUACCAAGGCGGCGACGGGUAGCCGGCCUGAGAGGGUGGACGGCCACAAGGGAACUGAGAAACGGUCGAGAGUCAUGAGGGAGGCAGGAGUGGGGAAUAGUGGACAAUGGGGGCAAGCGGGAGCCAGCCCUACCGGGUGGGGGAAGAUGGCCUGCGGGUGGUAAAGCUCUUUUGUGGGGAAAGAAAAGAAGCAGGUGAAUACCCCGGUGUUCCGACGGUACCAAAAGAAUAAGCAAGGGCUAGCUUCGUG
rnacentral:rRNA from 1 species